rnacentral:rRNA from 1 species
AACGAACGCUGGCGGCGCGCCUAAUACAUGCAAGUCGAGCGAGAAGACGUAGCAAUACGUUUGUAAAGCGGCGAACGGGUGAGGAAUACAUGGGUAACCUACCCUCGAGUGGGGAAUAACUAGCCGAAAGGUUAGCUAAUACCGCAUACGAUUCCCGGACUGCGGUCUGGGAAAGAAAGCGAUACCGUGGGUAUCGCGCUCUUGGAUGGGCUCAUGUCCUAUCAGCUUGUUGGUGAGGUAAUGGCUCACCAAGGCUUCGACGGGUAGCUGGUCUGAGAGGACGAUCAGCCACACUGGCACUGCGACACGGGCCAGACUCCUACGGGAGGCAGCAGUAAGGAAUAUUGCGCAAUGGGCGAAAGCCUGACGCAGCGACGCCGCGUGGGGGAUGAAGGUCUUCGGAUUGUAAACCCCUUUCGGCAGGGAAGAUGGAACGGGUAACCGUUCGGACGGUACCUGCAGAAGCAGCCACGGCUAACUUCGUGCCAGCCGCCGCCGUAAGAC